CGGCGGACGGGUGAGUAACGCGUGGGUAACCUGCCUUAUACAGGGGGAUAACAGUUAGAAAUGACUGCUAAUACCGCAUAAGCGCACAGUACUGCAUGGUACAGUGUGAAAAACUCCGGUGGUAUAAGAUGGACCCGCGUCUGAUUAGCCAGUUGGCGGGUAACGGCCCACCAAAGCGACGAUCAGUAGCCGACCUGAGAGGGUGACCGGCCACAUUGGGACUGAGACACGGCCCAAACUCCUACGGAAGGCAGCAG
rnacentral:rRNA from 1 species